GAUGAAGAACGUAGCGAAAUGCGAUAAGUAAUGUGAAUUGCAGAAUUCAGUGAAUCAUCGAAUCUUUGAACGCACAUUGCGCCCGCCAGUAUUCUGGCGGGCAUGCCUGUUCGAGCGUCAUUUCAACCAUCAAGCCCCCGGCUUGUGUGGGGACCUGCGGCUGCCGCAGGCCCUGAAAACCAGUGGCGGGCUCGCUAGUCACUCCGAGCGUAGUAAUACAUCUCGCUCAGGGCGUGCUGCGGGUUCCGGCCGUUAAAAAGCCUUAUUUACCCAAGGUUGACCUCGGAUCAGGUAGGAAGACCCGCUGAACUUAAGCAUAUCAAUAAGCGGAGGA
rnacentral:misc_RNA from 1 species